UCCUGGCUGACUCAGUUCAUAGAGCAUGUGACUCUUGAUCUCAAGAUUGUGGGUUCAAGCCCCACGUUGGGUG
rnacentral:tRNA from 1 species